rnacentral:rRNA from 1 species
UACGAAGGGGGCUAGCGUUGUUCGGAAUUACUGGGCGUAAAGCGCACGUAGGCGGAUCGAUCAGUCAGGGGUGAAAUCCCAGGGCUCAACCCUGGAGCUGCCUUUGAUACUGUCGAUCUGGAGUAUGGAAGAGGUGAGUGGAAUUCCGAGUGUAGAGGUGAAAUUCGUAGAUAUUCGGAGGAACACCAGUGGCGAAGGCGGCUCACUGGUCCAUUACUGACGCUGAGGUGCGAAAGCGUGGGGAGCAAACAGG